rnacentral:rRNA from 1 species
UACAGAGGUCCCAAGCGUUGUUCGGAUUCACUGGGCGUAAAGGGUGCGUAGGUGGCGGGGUAAGUUUGAUGUGAAAGCUCAGGGCUUAACCCUGAAAUGGCAUUGAAUACUACUCUGCUGGAGGUUUGGAGGGGGGACUGGAAUUCUUGGUGUAGCAGUGAAAUGCGUAGAUAUCAAGAGGAACACCAGUGGCGAAGGCGAGUCCCUGGACAACACCUGACACUGAGGCACGAAAGCUAGGGGAGCGAAUGGG